rnacentral:rRNA from 1 species
UACGGGGGGGGCAAGCGUUGUUCGGAAUUACUGGGCGUAAAGGGCUCGUAGGUGGCCAACUAAGUCAGACGUGAAAUCCCUCGGCUUAACCGGGGAACUGCGUCUGAUACUGGAUGGCUUGAGAUUGGGAGAGGGAUGCGGAAUUCCAGGUGUAGCGGUGAAAUGCGUAGAUAUCGAGAGGAACACCUGCGGCGAAGGCGGGUUGCUGGGCUGACACUGACGCUGAUGCGCGAAAGCCAGGGAGCGAAGCGGG